AUUGGCCAUCAUAGCAGGAUCUGUGAUCUUCUUGCAUCCACGCUCUUCACAAGUUUCAGAGGGCUGCUGUUCUAAGAAGUUAAAUAUGACGUACACAAUUCAGAAAGUGCCUAACAAACCGUCCCAAAAUCAAUACCAGAUCUGCAAAAUAACUAAAACUGGAACUUAUUUGAUCCAUGGUAAAGUGAAUAUGAU